ACUCCUACGGGAGGCAGCAGUGGGAAGUAUUGCACAAUGGGCGCAAGCCUGAUGCAGCCAUGCCGCGUGUGUGAAGAAGGCCUUCGGGUUGUAAAGCACUUUCAGUCGUGAGGAAGGUAGUGUAGUUAAUAGCUGCAUUAUUUGACGUUAGCGACAGAAGAAGCACCGGCUAACUCCGUGCCAGCAGCCGCGGUAAUACGGAGGGUGCGAGCGUUAAUCGGAAUUACUGGGCGUAAAGCGCAUGCAGGUGGUUUGUUAAGUCAGAUGUGAAAGCCCGGGGCUCAACCUCGGAAUAGCAUUUGAAACUGGCAGACUAGAGUACUGUAGAGGGGGGUAGAAUUUCAGGUGUAGCGGUGAAAUGCGUAGAGAUCUGAAGGAAUACCGGUGGCGAAGGCGGCCCCCUGGACAGAUACUGACACUCAGAUGCGAAAGCGUGGGGAGCAAACAGGAUUAGAUACCCUGGUAGGAUAGCG
rnacentral:rRNA from 1 species